rnacentral:rRNA from 1 species
AUGGCGGAGACGGCGCCGGCGACGCCGCUGGACAUCCACGAGAUCCCCUUCGCCGACCUCCUCCUCCUCCUGCUCUCGCCGGAAGCGGCAGCAGCGGGCGACGCCGAUGGCCGGCGGCGCCGCCUCCUGGCCACCGUCUGGGCCGCGCUCGGCCCGGGCGGCGCCGGCCUGCUGGCCGUCUCCGGUGUCCCGCGCGCCGCCGCCCUCCGCCGCCGGCUCCUCCCCCUGGCCCGCCGCCUCGCCCUCAUGGAUAACCCUUCCCGCGCCCGCCUCCUCAAGAAGCACGGAUUGGGCAGCGACGUUCCCCUCAAGAAGCCCGACAGGUCCGUCUCCUCCUUCGCGCAGCUCCUAAGGCAUGACCAUGAUUCAGGCAAGCUCCACUCCCCGGAGUCGACCACUGAAACCACCGGAGGCAUGGAGGUAAUCGCCGGUGUCGACGGAUUUGGGGAGAACAAGGGUGGUGAUGAUGGUGAUGAUAUUGAGAACCUUGGUGAGCUUUUCAAGGAGCUGGGUCUGUGCAUGAUGGAGCUUGGCAUCUUGGUUGCCCGGGCCUGCGACAUUGUUAUCGGUGGCAAUCAGCUGGAGCAGAGCAUUACCGACUUUGGGAGCGCAAAGGCGAGGCUCAUCCAUUACCACUCCGAGUUGGAUAGCAGGAUUAUCAAGGAGAGGAGCAGCACAAAGAGGAAAAGCUUGGUAAAUAAUGCAGCAGCAGCAGCAGCAAGACCUGUAUCAGAUCACAUGGAUACAGGUCAAAUGCCAGGAUCAGAAGAUGGAUCCUGUCUCAAAUCAGCAGAAGAAAAUAGUUUUAUUUCUCUUGUGAACUUAUGGCAAGAGUGGCACUACGACUACGGAGUGCUGACAGUCUUAACGGCGCCACUAUUCUUGCGCUCUGCUCUCGGACAGGAAUGCCCGGUCAGCGAAGAAUGCUCUCUUCCUGAUGGGCACUCACACCUGCAGCUCUUCGAUAAAAGGAGGAUAUUCUCGGUGAGAUGCUCCCAGGAGAGCUUCAUUGUUCAGGUUGGGGAGGCAGCAGGCAUCCUGUCAAGGGGGAAGCUGAGAUCUACGCUUCAUGCUGUCAGUAGACCUUUAGGCUUGCCAAACAUAAGCCGGGAGACUUUCGUAGUCUUCCUACAGCCGUCUUGGGACAAAACUCUGCCUUUCUCGGGUUACUCUUCUGCCGAUGAAGAAGAUGGUUCAAGUGAUCACAUGGAAUCAGCCGGGUCUUGUGGUGAACAUACAUUGAUGCAAGAAAUUCUGAAGAAAAUCCCCCCGCUGUCGUCAAGGCUGAAAGAAGGCAUGACGUUUGCAGAGUUUUCUAGGCAGACAACGAAACGGUAUUAUGGUGGUGGAGGCAUCCAACAGAACAGUUAA